ACGCUGGCGGCGUGCUUAACACAUGCAAGUCGAACGGUGAAGAGGAGCUUGCUCCUUGGAUCAGUGGCGAACGGGUGAGUAACACGUGAGUAACCUGCCCCAAACUCUGGGAUAAGCACUGGAAACGGUGUCUAAUACCGGAUACGAGCUUCAGCCGCAUGGCUAGGAGUUGGAAAGAAUUUCGGUUUGGGAUGGACUCGCGGCCUAUCAGCUAGUUGGUGAGGUAAUGGCUCACCAAGGCGACGACGGGUAGCCGGCCUGAGAGGGUGACCGGCCACACUGGGACUGAGACACGGCCCAGACUCCUACGGGAGGCAGCAGUGGGGAAUAUUGCACAAUGGGCGCAAGCCUGAUGCAGCAACGCCGCGUGAGGGACGACGGCCUUCGGGUUGUAAACCUCUUUUAGUAGGGAAGAAGCGAAAGUGACGGUACCUGCAGAAAAAGCACCGGCUAACUACGUGCCAGCAGCCGCGGUAAUACGUAGGGUGCAAGCGUUGUCCGGAAUUAUUGGGCGUAAAGAGCUCGUAGGCGGUUUGUCGCGUCUGCUGUGAAAACCCGAGGCUCAACCUCGGGCCUGCAGUGGGUACGGGCAGACUAGAGUGCGGUAGGGGAGAUUGGAAUUCCUGGUGUAGCGGUGGAAUGCGCAGAUAUCAGGAGGAACACCAAUGGCGAAGGCAGAUCUCUGGGCCGUAACUGACGCUGAGGAGCGAAAGCAUGGGGAGCGAAC
rnacentral:rRNA from 1 species